rnacentral:rRNA from 1 species
AUUGAACGCUGGCGGCAGGCCUAACACAUGCAAGUCGAGCGGAUGAAGGGAGCUUGCUCCUGGAUUCAGCGGCGGACGGGUGAGUAAUGCCUAGGAAUCUGCCUGGUAGUGGGGGAUAACGUCCGGAAACGGGCGCUAAUACCGCAUACGUCCUGAGGGAGAAAGUGGGGGAUCUUCGGACCUCACGCUAUCAGAUGAGCCUAGGUCGGAUUAGCUAGUUGGUGGGGUAAAGGCCUACCAAGGCGACGAUCCGUAACUGGUCUGAGAGGAUGAUCAGUCACACUGGAACUGAGACACGGUCCAGACUCCUACGGGAGGCAGCAGUGGGGAAUAUUGGACAAUGGGCGAAAGCCUGAUCCAGCCAUGCCGCGUGUGUGAAGAAGGUCUUCGGAUUGAAAAGCACUUUAAGUUGGGAGGAAGGGCAGUAAGUUAAUACCUUGCUGUUUUGACGUUACCAACAGAAUAAGCACCGGCUAACUUCGUG